AUAUGAUAUUAUUGCACUAAGUCGCCGAGUGGGUACACUGCACGGGAACGGAAUCAGUCAUCAGUUCACUUCGACAAGUCUUCGGAUCUCCUGCGUGCUCGUAAAUGCCGAAUACAAUUUUAUUUCAGUGUAAUGCACGUCUUGUGUUACAGUCCGGGUUAUUAAGUCGAAAAAGUGCCGUGUCGUGUUACAGUCCGGGUUUUUAAGUCGAAAUAGUGCCGUGUCGUGUGUAUCGAUUUUUAAAUUUUAAAAUUUUAAAACGUAUUUAUAACGUACCUACCGUAAUCCAGUUCGCGCGCGAUGAUGAAUAUUGAAGAAAAUAUGUGUGUUCAAUUUUUGGGUACCAACAACAUUGCUGGAAAAUAAAUGAGCGGUGAAAAUGGAUCAAACAAAAACGACGAGAAAAGGAAGUAUAAAGAAAGUUUUGGUCAGCAAAAAAGAUGUCACAGGUAAGAUUAAUAAUAGUAUUAUUUACUUGCACUAAGCGACCUAGGUAAUAUUUUAA